UGCUUCUCCUAACAUGAGAAAUGGCAUGAUUCAGAACGUUUUGUUGCACUACCUGCUGAAAACCGAGUCGCUUUUGUCAACAUCAUCACUCCAUCAUAACAUAAAAAACGGGGAAAACCCAUUACAUGUUAUGGGUAUGAAUGUCAAAUGAGACGGCUUUCUGACAGCCUUUUGAUGCACUUCGGUUCCGGAUACAGACACGA
ensembl:ncRNA C06E4.15 ncRNA